GGAAACGUGGCCGAGUGGCUGAAGGCACCGGAUUUGAAAUCCGGCGACGGGCAACUGUCCGUGAGUUCGAAUUUCACCGUUUCCGCCA
rnacentral:tRNA from 1 species